rnacentral:tRNA from 1 species
GGGGGUGUGGCUCAGUGGUAGAGGGCGUGCCUGGGAUUCACCAGGCUCUAGGUUCAGACCCUAGCACAACUU